AACGAACGCUGGCGGCAGGCUUAACACAUGCAAGUCGAGCGCCCCGCAAGGGGAGCGGCAGACGGGUGAGUAACGCGUGGGAACGUACCUUUUGGUUCGUAACAACUCCGGGAAACUGGAGCUAAUACCGGAUAAGCCCUAACGGGGAAAGAUUUAUCGCCGAAAGAUCGGCCCGCGUCUGAUUAGCUAGUUGGUGAGGUAACGGCUCACCAAGGCGACGAUCAGUAGCUGGUCUGAGAGGAUGAUCAGCCACACUGGGACUGAGACACGGCCCAGACUCCUACGGGAGGCAGCAGUGGGGAAUAUUGGACAAUGGGCGCAAGCCUGAUCCAGCCAUGCCGCGUGAGUGAUGAAGGCCUUAGGGUUGUAAAGCUCUUUUGUCCGGGAAGAUAAUGACUGUACCGGAAGAAUAAGCCCCGGCUAAUUUCGUG
rnacentral:rRNA from 1 species